UGAGGAAUAUUGGUCAAUGGGCGCAAGCCUGAACCAGCCAUGCCGCGUGCAGGAUGACGGUCCUAUGGAUUGUAAACUGCUUUUGUACAGGAAGAAACACUCCCUCGUGAGGGAGCUUGACGGUACUGUAAGAAUAAGGAUCGGCUAACUCCGUGCCAGCAGCCGCGGUAAUACGGAGGAUCCAAGCGUUAUCCGGAAUCAUUGGGUUUAAAGGGUCCGUAGGCGGUUUUAUAAGUCAGUGGUGAAAUCUGGUCGCUCAACGAUCAAACGGCCAUUGAUACUGUAGAACUUGAAUUACUUGGAAGUAACUAGAAUAUGUAGUGUAGCGGUGAAAUGCUUAGAGAUUACAUGGAAUACCAAUUGCGAAGGCAGGUUACUACGAGUUAAUUGACGCUGAUGGACGAAAGCGUGGGGAGCGAACAGGAUUAGAUACCCUGGUAGUCCACGCCGUAAACGAUGGAUACUAGCUGUUUGGAGCAAUCUGAGUGGCUAAGCGAAAGUGAUAAGUAUCCCACCUGGGGAGUACGCUCGCAAGAGUG
rnacentral:rRNA from 1 species